AGUGAGAUAUGCACAAGCAUUCCAGGUUCCUUGGACUUGGGGUAGAAGCUGAGUUCAGCAGCCCACUGGCCCCCAUGGCACAACUUCCUCAUUCACUUUGUUGAUGAAAUUUCUGGCUCCUGUGAAAUGGCGUGGGACUCUUCUGUUAAAGGAUAUCUCUGAGACAUGAUACCGAUCGUGGGAAUCUUCUGUUAAAGGAUGUCUCUGAGACAUGAUACCGAUCGUGGGAAUCUGCUGUUAAACGAUGUCUCUGAGACAUGAUACCGAUCGUGGGACUCUUCUGUUAAACGAUGUCUCUGAGACAUGAUACCGAUCGUGGGACUCUUCUGUUAAACGAUGUCUCUGAGACAUGAUACCGAUCGUGGGACUCUUCUGUUAAACGAUGUCUCUGAGACAUGAUACCGAUCGUGGGACUCUUCUGUUAAACGAUGUCUCUGAGACAUGAUACCGAUCGUGGGACUCUUCUGUUAAACGAUGUCUCUGAGACAUGAUACCGAUCGUGGGACUCUUCUGUUAAACGAUGUCUCUGAGACAUGAUACCGAUCGUGGGACUCUUCUGUUAAACGAUGUCUCUGAGACAUGAUACCGAUCGUGGGACUCUUCUGUUAAACGAUGUCUCUGAGACAUGAUACCGAUCGUGGGAAUCUUCUGUUAAACGAUGUCUCUGAGACAUGAUACCGAUCGUGGGACUCUUCUGUUAAACGAUGUCUCUGAGACAUGAUACCGAUCGUGGGACUCUUCUGUUAAACGAUGUCUCUGAGACAUGAUACCGAUCGUGGGAAUCUUCUGUUAAACGAUGUCUCUGAGACAUGAUACCGAUCGUGGGACUCUUCUGUUAAACGAUGUCUCUGAGACAUGAUACCGAUCGUGGGACUCUUCUGUUAAACGAUGUCUCUGAGACAUGAUACCGAUCGUGGGACUCUUCUGUUAAACGAUGUCUCUGAGACAUGAUACCGAUCGUGGGACUCUUCUGUUAAACGAUGUCUCUGAGACAUGAUACCGAUCGUGGGAAUCUUCUGUUAAACGAUGUCUCUGAGACAUGAUACCGAUCGUGGGAAUCUUCUGUUAAACGAUGUCUCUGAGACAUGAUACCGAUCGUGGGACUCUUCUGUUAAACGAUGUCUCUGAGACAUGAUACUGAUCGUGGGAAUCUUCUGUUAAACGAUGUCUCUGAGACAUGAUACCGAUCGUGGGAAUCUUCUGUUAAACGAUGUCUCUGAGACAUGAUACCGAUCGUGGGAAUCUUCUGUU
rnacentral:lncRNA from 1 species